GUUUACAAGAUAAUAGCAUAUUCUCAAAUUGAAGGGCGGGGAUGACCCCCCAGGGACUCACCCUAUAUUUCAUGUGAUUUGUUUUAUUGUCCUAUGAUCAUUUCUGAAGAUUACGUGUGUUUAUCACUUACAGUUUUCAAGUUAUAUUCAUUUGAAAAAUUUAUAAAAAAAAAUCCCAUAGGGUUCUAUAGUAAACCCCUCCCUUCUUUCUGUCCCCCAAAUACCCCUUA
rnacentral:lncRNA from 1 species